CGCCUGUUUAUCAAAAACAUCGCCUCUUGCCAAAUAGAUAAGAGGUCCAGCCUGCCCAGUGACUUAGUUCAACGGCCGCGGUAUCCUAACCGUGCGAAGGUAGCGUAAUCACUUGUUCUUUAAAUGAGGACUAGUAUGAAUGGCACCACGAGGGUUAAACUGUCUCCUUUUUUUGAUCAGUGAAACUAAUCUCCCCGUGAAAAAGCGGGAAUCUACUUAUAAGACGAGAAGACCCUAUGGAGCUUUAAACAAACUAACAUCCGCUAUUACUUUAUCGCCUUCUGAGUUAAAAUAAAAAAUAUAGCAACCUGAUUAGAAGUUUUCGAUUGGGGUGAUCACGGAGUAAAAAACAACCUCCACGUCGAACGGAUUAAACUCCUAAACAAAAAGCCACAGCUUUAUGUACUAAUAUAUUAACGCCUUUGACCCAUUUUUGAUCAACGAACCAAGUUACCCUAGGGAUAACAGCGCAAUCUACUUUGAGAGCCCCUAUCGACAAGUGGGUUUACGACCUCGAUGUUGGAUCAGGGUGUCCUGGUGGUGCAGCCGCUACUAAUGGUUCGUUUGUUCAACGAUUAAAACCCUACGUGAUCUGAGUUCAGACCGG
rnacentral:rRNA from 1 species